UAUGUAGCCUGAAUAAAUACAACAAGAAACAUUACUGAAAUACAACUCAUUGCUAAUACAUGGAAAUAACUUGCUUGCAUUGGGGACAUUUACGUGUAUCAGAACACUGGCAUUCUGAUGGCUAAUUUUAGCUGGAUCUUUAAUGGGUGCUCUGGAACAUAUACGGUCUAUUUGCUGAACGCCUGCGUUCUCUCCUAGAACGCGUGUGUUCUGCUGUGUUCUAUAAUGUUAUAUGCGAGAACACGUGUUCCAUUAAUAGAACAUCGGUGUUCUGUUUUUCUAACAAGCAUUCAAAGCUGUCCAUGCUCUGUGAUUCACAUCCGUUAUGUGAGAAACUGGCGUGACGUCGCAUGUAUUUGGCGCUACAAUUUCCUAUGAUCUGAGGUGUGUCUGUGGUAAGUAUCCAUCUAGGAAUACUUUUGUUUCAUAUUUAAUACGUACCUAAAAUAAUGUAAUAUUUCGGCGAUAUAUUCAUAUGCUGAUCCCAACGAAGUAUAACCGGCCCCUUACAAAACGCAUAGCAGACGACAUAUUACUCGCCAUUUUGACCGUCAUUUCUGCCAUUGUUCCACACGCUUUAUUUAUAAAUUAUGAGAUGAAAUUCCAAUCCAAAUUGCAAGUGUCACUAUUUGAACGUUUCCGUUUAUUUGAAUGAUGUUCAAAUAAAAUGAAUAUAUAUUUCAGGUUCUAUAUGAAUCGCCUGAAAGUGCGAAGCGGGCUACAUGCAACAAAUCUCUGAACAUCUAAAUUUGGGAUCCGAGGGCAUGAUCAGCAAGCAUCGACAAUGCAUCGAAAUCAGCAGAGAGUAGUGGUGCAUUGCAGAUAAUCAGUACCAUCCAUGGAAACUAUUGCACAGGGCACACGUCUACACAAAGGAGGAAAAGACACAAGGUUUUGCAGAUCAAAUAAGAAGGAUGUUGGGGAGUCAUAUUUGACAUGAAGUUUCCUGAAGCCUGCGAUGGUCAUGUCGCUGUUACGAACAUCGUCCUUUGGGGAUAUUUACCCACAAGAAACAUCUGCGAAGUACAUGCGCUUCGUGAAAGACUUGAGUAUGGAAGUAUGCUUCAAUUUGCUACACGACAGUUUGUAAUGUUUCAUGAAGAACUCUGACUCAUAAGUGACUUGAAUAUCCAUGAUCAUCCCAAACAAAUAUAAUAAAGAAUUCAUGGUUGCAGUUCAGAAUUUCGUCCGUGUGAUUUUAUGCCAGAGAAUAUGCAUGGGUGUAUGGUGUAAAUUCUUACACCUUGAAAAACAUCGGGUAAAUUGUAUUCGACACACACGAUGAGUUGUCGUUUCAGUAAUGUGGAAGUACGUGUCCGAGAACGUGUAGUGUUCUGAAUCUCGGUCCAGAACACUUUACAGGCGUUCUAAAAGCGUUACAUCGUCAGAACACGUUGAAGCGUUCUAAAUAUGUUUGUAGAACACUCCUGUUCUGGGUCGAGAACAUCAACGUUCAGAAUAUUUUCAGAACACAUGGACGCGUUCUAAAAGUGUUACAUCCAUGUGUUCUGUCUAGUGUUCAGAAGUGGAACACUUGG